rnacentral:rRNA from 1 species
AGCGUUGUUCGGAAUUACUGGGCGUAAAGCGCACGUAGGCGGUUAUUCAAGUCAGAGGUGAAAGCCCGGAGCUCAACUCCGGAAUAGCCUUUGAAACUAGAUAACUUGAAUCACGGAGAGGUGGGUGGAAUUCCGAGUGUAG